UCCUGUGGAAGAAAGGGGGGGGUUACCAUGGAUACGCAUUAAAGCCCAUGACGCUGAACUCACAGGAAGUCCUUUAAGCUGCAUGUGUCUGACUGCUUCCAGGUGGUUCCUCCUCUCAGCGGUCAGUGGUGGUGUACCACAGGGCUCUGUGCUCGGGCCGCUCAGCUUUUUCUGCAGACUUUUACGGAACAACAUGCUAGAACCGAACGGACUCGACACGUCUGUAAAAAUGUGACAUGAAAGCGGUCUGUGGCCUGAGGCCGCCGGUUGGCGUGUAAACGCCAGAGAAUGGCGUUAACAGAGAGGCUGAAAACAUCAAAGCUCUGCUAGCAUCAGUGUUUUAUUUGGACGUCAGAAAGGAUUUUUAACGUCGCGUUUUUCUACAGCUAGUAGUGCAGAGGUUGACAGAAAGGUCAUUUUAACAGAAUUCUCCUCAUUUGAACAGUUUUCCACUUUUAUUCAGUAAUGAAGUUACAUUUCAAACAGUCUAUAUCAGCAACAUCAACGUUUUAAGCUUUAAAAUGUUUUAUAAAGUCUAUUCCUCACCAAAUAUCCCUAUAGCCGUAUUUUGGAUCCAUUUCUGAGGAUUCCUCUACAAACCUGCUCUCUGAGCACCAGCCCCUCCCAAUCCACCAAAAUGAGUGGAUCCUCACAUUGUGACAUCACAAAGUGAGGAACCGCCCCUUCCAGGAAGUCUUUGCAUCCAGCCCCGCCCCCAGGCUAACAGACACGCCCACUUUCUCUGUGGAGCUAGCGGUGAUCGGAUAAACGCUUUAAUUUAUAUCCACUUUAUGAACAUCCACCUUUGUGAAAGCUCGGAUGUUUGUUUGGGAGAAACGAAGCCAACUAUAGGAUGACAUCAUGAAAUGGGCGGGACCCACAUGGAGCGAAAGGCGGAGCCUCAAAAAUCAAGUAGUCUUACUUCCGGGUAGGAAAAGAGUUCAUGGAAAUAACUCAUAUUUAAUUAAUAAUGCGUUCUUUAGUGUGCUAAAGGUCAUAGAUGAGUCUAUAGUUUAACCUGAAAGGCUUAAGAUAAGCAGGAUACAGACCUUUAUCCAUAUUCUGUGCUGUUCUUUCCUCGGUUUCAUAGAUUAGAUUUUUAGAAUCUAUUUAAUGGUAAGUUGUUGACAUUUUGAAUUACCAGCAUUUGAUUCUGAAAUAUCUUUGUGUAUUCAGACCAAACGGUUGGAAUUUGAGGACUUUCCUUUUCCAGGUUUAGUGAAAAGUUGUUUUAUUGACAGUGAAACUUUGUCUGAAAAGCUUGUUUCGAUAAAGUUUUACAGAUUUCAGAUGCAGAGUGACCACGGCGUUCUUGGGGGUGGAGUCACAGGGAUGAGGCGUCAGUCUUCAGCUGCCAUUGUUCCUGUUCUCCAUCAUUCUUGUUCAGCCGUUGUUUUUAAACAGAGUUUCGUCCUCAUCUGUUGAAACGCUAACCGUCAUGCUGGACCGAGGUGGCUGCUGGAGAAGCUGUUCAUAGAUCCAAACAGCGGUUCUGCUGCUCUCAGGCCGCCGUCCGUGUUCACCCGGCGUAGGGACUCGGCGAGCUCCUCUGGAUCAACGGCACCGUGGCAGCUCUACCGGCCAACGGCGUGCACGCCAUCAACAGACAGAAACCAACAGGAACAGACUUCAAAGGCACAGAGAACGACCGUUCAUCCAGUCAGCAUCAGAACCGCCUCCUCCUGAUCAAAUGGUUUCAUUUUUGCUCCAAACAGAGAAUUCACCCACAGACGUUUGGACAAGAGGUCAACCGGACGUCUGUUUCAGCUUAGAUUCCACUUUGCAGUCGAAUAAAAGCCUCAUGAUGAACAUGA